rnacentral:rRNA from 1 species
AACGAACGCUGGCGGCAGGCUUAACACAUGCAAGUCGAACGGCUGUAGCAAUACAGCAGUGGCAGACGGGUGAGUAACACGUGGGAACCUUCCUAGGGGUACGGAACAACUCAGGGAAACUUGAGCUAAUACCGUAUACGUCCGUGAGGAGAAAGAUUUAUCGCCCUUAGACGGGCCCGCGUCGGAUUAGGUAGUUGGUGGGGUAACGGCCUACCAAGCCUACGAUCCGUAGCUGAUCUGAGAGGAUGAUCAGCCACACUGGGACUGAGACACGGCCCAGACUCCUACGGGAGGCAGCAGUGGGGAAUCUUGGACAAUGGGCGCAAGCCUGAUCCAGCCAUGCCGCGUGAGUGAAGAAGGCCUUAGGGUUGUAAAGCUCUUUUGCCAGGGACGAUAAUGACGGUACCUGGAGAAUAAGCCCCGGCAAACUUCGUGCCAGCCGCCGCCGUAACAC